rnacentral:rRNA from 1 species
CCUACGGGGUGCAGCAGUGGGGAAUAUUGGACAAUGGGCGAAAGCCUGAUCCAGCCAUGCCGCGUGUGUGAAGAAGGCCUUCGGGUUGUAAAGCACUUUCAGUGGGGAAGAAAGCCUUGGGGCUAAUACCCUCGAGGAAGGACAUCACCCACAGAAGAAGCACCGGCUAACUCCGUGCCAGCAGCCGCGGUAAUACGGAGGGUGCGAGCGUUAAUCGGAAUUACUGGGCGUAAAGCGCGCGUAGGCGGUCUGAUAAGCCGGUUGUGAAAGCCCCGGGCUCAACCUGGGAACGGCAUCCGGAACUGUCAGGCUAGAGUGCAGGAGAGGAAGGUAGAAUUCCCGGUGUAGCGGUGAAAUGCGUAGAGAUCGGGAGGAAUACCAGUGGCGAAGGCGGCCUUCUGGACUGACACUGACGCUGAGGUGCGAAAGCGUGGGUAGCAAUCAGGAUUAGAUACCCCUGUAGUC